AUUUUUGGGAAGGAUCAAAUCUGCCUAUGAAAAUAUAUCCCAUUAAAACACAAUUAUUAUGAUAAAUUAUUUUAUUUCUAUAGUAUGCGUAAUAAAUAACUAAAAAGUCCUAAAAUUAUUAUUAAUUUCCCAUAUUUCGGGUAAUUUUCCCACGUAAAUAACUGAGAACACUGGUCUUUGACGUAUUAUUUUUUCGAGUGAAUGACGUUUGAUUUCAAUUAAUUUCAAUAUUUUAAUGUCGGGAAAUAAGUGAUUGGAUUAUUAUUUUACCUGUGAAAUGUGAUUCCUUAAUUUUUGUUUGUCCGAACAGAACGGUUUUUACACAAUUUCAUCUCACAAGACAUGUCGUAUUCGUGUUGUUUUUUCGCCGCCUAAAUGUGUCAACUGUGUGAAGUUUGCACUCGAAGUGGUGCGUCAGGGUGUGAAUGUGUGCGUGCCGGCCUGUACGUACAGGCAAGCUGGUGUAUCCUAAUGUCACAGUAUUUUGUUGAUGAGAAUCCGUCCGACUUUUUUUAUAGGUCCAUGGCUAGAAAUUAACAAAAAUCCUGCAAGAGCACCGAGAUCUCGCUUUUGGCGAGUGGAAGUCCAAAGGCAAAGUGCAGCGGUUUGCAGUUCUUAUACUAUGUUGAUUGUAAUACUUAAUUGAAUCUUUAUUAUUAAAAGUGUUAGCGAUACCUCUUGGGAGGCGUCCGACAGGACGCGGGGGGUGCUUUUGGGAGGCGCCCGAAGGGCGCGGGGGGCUGGUAUAGGAUAUAAUCCCGUGGACGGGCAUUCGAACGUCAACUGUGAUCUAGAGAGUCGAAGUGUCUAAGUGUUUUAAGAGAGUGGUGUCACCUGUGUUUUAAAUAGUUCUAACAUAUCAGAAGUGAGUCCUGACGCCCAUUGAUAAAAAUAAAUCAAAAUAGGCGCAGAGACGCGCCUAUCUGCAGAAUGGCCGUAUCGGCGCAAAAGAAAAAGUAGUUCUACCAACGCAAAUACUACGCCACACUGCACGUGUUUCGACCGGUCCAAACGAGUUACGCACGAUCACCCCACCCGAGUUACGUUAUAAAAAGGCCGGUCGCCUCGAGCGGAGCGCAUUCGCUCGCCAGCGCUCGAACCGACAACAUCUGAUUUUUUAAAUAAGUUGAUUAUUUUUAUAUGGAUUGUUGUUGAUUGUAGUUUUAAAAUACAUUGUUGAUUAUUUAUUGGUGUUGUAAUAAACGGCUAUUAUGAGUAAAGAAGAUGGUUUUAAUGAUCAGAGUUCCCUUCCUAUU